CGCAGAAUUGCAGCAAUGUGGUUCUGAGUGGCGAAUGGGUGCGUAACACGUAGGUGACCUGCCCAGAAGUGUGGAAUAACAGUCCGAAAGGACUGCUAAUACCGCAUGUGGCGCGCGGGGUUAGAGGCCCGCACGCGAAAGGUCCGCAAGGAUCGCUUCUGGAGGGGCCUGCGGCCCAUCAGUUAGUUGGUAGGGUAACGGCCUACCAAGACUACSACGGGUAGGGGACCUCAGAGGGUGGCCCCCCACACUGGCACUGACACACGGGCCAGACUCCUACGGGAGGCAGCAGUCGGGAAUAUUGCCCAAUGGUCGCAAGACUGAGGCAGCAACGCCGCGUGCGCGAUGAAGGCCUUCGGGUCGUAAAGCGCUUUUCAGUGGGAUGAGGAAGGACAGUACCACUGGAAUAAGGUACGGCUAACUACGUGCCAGCAGCCGCGGUAAAACGUAGGUACCGAGCGUUAUCCGGAUUUACUGGGCGUAAAGCGUGUUCAGGCGGUCUAGCAAGUCGGGCAUGAAAUCUCUGGGCUCAACCCGGAGGGGUUGUCCGAAACUGCUGGGCUUGAGGGCAGCAGAGGGUGGUGGAAUUCCGGGUGUAGUGGUGAAAUGCGUAGAUAUCCGGAGGAACACCAGUGGGCGAAGGCGGCCACCUGGGCUGUACCUGACGCUCAACACGAAAGCUAGGGGAGCGAACGGGAUUAGAAACCCCGG
rnacentral:rRNA from 1 species